GUCUGUGCACCGCAUGCAUGCAGUGCCUACAGAAGCCAGAAGAGGGUGUCGAAUGCCCUGGAACUGGAGUUCAAGAAGGUUGUAAGCUGGAAUCAAACCAAGGACCUUUGGAAGAGCAGAUGGUGCUCUUGUCUCCUGAGCCACUUCUCCAGAAUCCUCUAUCAUUUGAUCACUCACUCUGUUGAGACUGCGUUCUCUCUGAACCGGAAGCUCACUGACUUGGCAAGACUAGCUGUCCCGCUAGCUCCAGCUGUGUUCCUGUCUCUGCCUCCCCAGUUCUAAGAUUAUAGAGUGGACACAGUUCUCAUCACGCUGGGGAAGCUGGGCAAGAAGCUCGUUGGGGGAAUGGAAAAACAGCAUCGAAAAGACAUCCAGCUUUAACUCCAUAAAAGAAUCACUGACAUAAGAGUCAAAGUCCCAGGGAUGCAGGUGUCUAUACAUUUUCCUCAUGGAUGCAUCUAGAACAUUGAUUUGCACUUAACAAUGCUGUGAUGUCAUGGAUGCAUUAGGUCCCAGCUCCCAGCCUGGCCUCAGAAAAUUCUCCAUCAAGAAAACUCCAGUUUGUGCUGUUGCACAUUAAAACAAAUCCCAGACUCAGCUCUGUACCUGGCGAGGGUAUGGGUGGCAUCCUCGCCACACUAAGGCCUCAUCUGAGCCCGUGAGGAGGAGUGAGUAUUUGCUAGACUGACCACCCCAUCCUCCUGCUGCCCUGGCCCGAGUUGCCUACCGACAGACCUUCACUGACAUAAUGGAUUGAAACUCGGCUGACACAGGAGCCAGGGUAACCUUUUCCUCUGCUAAGCAGCUCCUCCCAGGUGUGUUGUCAGAGCCAAGAGCUUGUGAGCAAGGGCAGUGUCCACUCUGGUGUCCCUGUCCCCACGUGCUCUCCUCUGGAUUUCAUUUCAAUAGACACUUGUCUGAAAGGCCACAAACCCCAGGAACUGUGGUUUUCAGUUUUUGGCUUUGGUUGCCAUGGCUCCCAUGCUCCAGACAGUUCUGGUUAUUUCCAGUGUUUUAGUACCUGAAUCGACAUGGACCAAGUGAGCCCCCGUAUUCCUUCAGCUGCAGCAGGCUUCACUCAUUAAAUGGAGCACAUACAAAGAAACGUAAUGGAUGUCUUUAUUUGGGGCAGUUUUGAGGCUUUCUAGAAAGAGUUUUAGGCAUCAGGCUGGGUGGAAGCUGAUUCCUCAGAAGGGAGUUGGGCUUUCAAGAGGAUAGAAAUGACCUCGGUCCUGUUCCAGAGAUG